GAUGAAGAACGCAGCGAAAUGCGAUACGUAGUGUGAAUUGCAGAAUUCAGUGAAUCAUCGAAUCUUUGAACGCACAUUGCGCCCUUUGGUAUUCCAAAGGGCAUGCCUGUUCGAGCGUCAUUUGUACCUUCAAGCUUUGCUUGGUGUUGGGCGUCUUUUUGUCUCUCCUUUGCGGGAGACUCGCCUUAAAACGAUUGGCAGCCGGCCUACUGGUUUCGGAGCGCAGCACAUUUUUUGCGCUUUGCAUCAGGAGAAAAGGACGGUACUCCAUCAAGACGUUUACAUUUUUCACUUUUGACCUCAGAUCAGGUAGGGAUACCCGCUGAACUUAAGCAUAUCAAUAAGCGGAGGA
rnacentral:misc_RNA from 1 species